rnacentral:rRNA from 1 species
ACGUAGGGAGCGAGCGUUAUCCGGAAUCAUUGGGCGUAAAGAGCGCGUAGGCGGCCUCUCAAGCGGGAUCUCUAAUCCGAGGGCUCAACCCCCGGCCGGAUCCCGAACUGGGAGGCUCGAGUUCGGUAGAGGCAGGCGGAAUUCCCGGUGUAGCGGUGGAAUGCGCAGAUAUCGGGAAGAACACCGAUGGCGAAGGCAGCCUGCUGGGCCGCAACUGACGCUGAGGCGCGAAAGCUAGGGGAGCGAACAG